GGCAGUAUCACGACAGCAAAUUUUCACAUUAAAAAUCAUAUUGUUCAACUUGUGCAAUGAGGGCGACCAGCACUUCCACCCCUAAAAGCAAUGGCUGCUUUCACUAUUAGCUGCAUGCCUCAAUACUCACCAUCAGUCUUAUAAUAUGUAGUAGUCAUUUACACAAGACACACCGAGUUAUGUUGAUGGAACAAGAGCAUGGUAUCAUAAGAUACCAAGUAUUUUGUUGCAAGGCAGUAGCCAGCACAGUUACAUAAUACUAACAGCACCAAGCAAAUGCUGAAGAUCACAACUUCAAUGGUUUCAAACCCAAGGCUGCUCGCAGCUUAUUAGCUUCUGCAAUCUCUGGAUCAGGGUGGUCUGUGCCAUCAUCCUUCUUUUCCUUCUUUUCCUUUUUCUUCUUUGGCUCGUCUGGACCAUCCGCACGCCUUUUCGGACUGCUGCUGCGGCCAUGUCUCUUGCGAUCCCUACUCCUACUUCGACUCCUUGAAUGACUCCUCCGCCUGCCACGGUCCCUAUCUCGCCUCUCCCGUUCCCUACCUUCCCUCUCUCUUUCUCGCUCCCGCUCACGACCAUAAUCCUUUUCUUCCCUUAUGCGAUAGCGAUCCCGAUCUCGAUCCCGAUCCCUAUCCCUAUCCCUCUCUCUUUCUCUGUCCCUAUCCCGUUCUCUAUCCCUAUCUCUCUCACGCCCACGUCCACGUUCCCUAUCGUAGUCCCUGUCAUAGUCCCGAUCAUAGUCUCGGUCCCUGUAUCUGUGAAUCUCACGUCUUCUAUCUCUAUCUCUUUCCCUUAUGGGACUUCUCCCAUGAUAAUAAUCCUGUAGACAUUUCAAAACCAUGUUCACAAAGAAUAAUAGAAUGCAAUAAAAUUUAAGAGGAAAUAAUAAAGAUUAAAACUGAAAAGUUGUGCUUAGAAAGAAUACUCUUUCAUCAACCCCAUUGUCUAAACCAUCAAUUUGUUCGUUCUCCUCUUUCUCUUCCUCCUCUUCAAAAUCAUCUUCCAACACACUUUUUCUUGGCUCAAGUGAACCAAUUGAUUCAAGAGUCCUUCUUUUCUUAAUCCGCGGUAAAGCAAUAUCACAGGAAUAAUCUUUCGUCAGAAGCUCAUCUAUAACCUCAUCCACAUGUGUUAAGGCGAAUUUUCCGUCAGCUAGCUUUUGCCUUAAUUUUCGAUAGUCGUUGUAUAAAGGCUCUAGGUACCGGUACACAUCCACAUCAGUCCCAGUGAGACGCAGAUAAAAAGCACCAAGUAUUCGCACAUAUCUGCACCCAGACAAUGAAGAACAGGUGAACAGCAAAGGGAAGACAUCAAAAGAAAAUGGCAUAAGUGAAACAAUGCGAAAUUGAUGUCAGUAGGAUUCAAUCCAACAAAGGAAGAAGAAGACAAGGAUGUGAAAGCUAAUUACGCACCAUGAAAACCAAAACUAUUCAUUAGCAUUGUAAACAAGCAAAACAGGUGCAUUAUAUUGUGUGUAAAUAGUAAAACAAAUACUACAACAAGCAAAAACAGACAUCAAAUUUCAUUUCAGUAAUACCCAUACUAUUAAUAGACAAAAAAAAUUACUCAUCUUCAAUUGAUGUACUAUUUUUCGUACUUACAAAUGCAAUCAAACAGAACCAUACAAUUACAGAAAAUAAACCGAAUGAACUCCAGUAAUCUUAAAACUCCCGCUUUUUCUUUUCCAUUCUUCAACUUUCUAAAUGCAAAACUUGUUGGAAAAAUAGAAAAAUCGAUACUAAAAGCAAAUAAAAAAAGACGAAUCGAUAGCCAAAUAAGAAAUUACAUACUUGUAAUCGUCGUUUUUGAUGAACUCGACGACGAUGUCCUUCUCGGGCUGGAUUUGCAGCAUCUUCAUGACCAAGCACAUAAAAGGUGUAGGUUUGCGGUUGCCACCAUAAGUACCACCAAGAUGGUCGAGCUCCAUAGCCUUGUCCACAAGCGUCUCCGCUGUUAAUCCGAAGCAUUGCUCCUUCCAGUAGGUGUUCUGGUAAAUCUUAGACCUAAGAAUCUUCUCCACCAGGUUCUGGGGGUUCGUGCCCCUUAUACUCUUGGCCGCAGGAUCGGUGCGGUUGGCCAUGGAUGGAUCAGAAGUCGAAAGAUUCGAAUCAACCUUCCUUAAUCCUAAACCUAACCCUCACAGAAGGUGCGUUUGAGUUGACAUAGCC
rnacentral:misc_RNA from 1 species